GUCGAGCCGAGUCAUGGUUCGGCAACGUGUGUUUGCACGCGUUUCUCGCAAUACGCCGCCUUGUUUCUUGUGAAUUUGAUUAGGCCAGUUUUAGUUUAAAGUUAAAGUGCUAGUAACUUAAAAUUGUGUUCUUGUUUUAUUGCUUAUUUUUCGGGCUCGGAGUAGAAAUUUAACUUUUAUCAUCCGAGUUUCUUUUUGCACAUUCGGCGUUUUCGUAGUAGAAUUAUUUUUCGGUCUACGCGGUCUACACAAUGGUUGUGUUCUCAACUCGCGACUUUUAACAUCUAUCAAGAUUUUAAUUCAGUUUACAACCACGUGGGAUAGCAGUUGAAGUUACCCAUCUGUCUUAUUGGUAAGUUCAUCUUUGAGUUCGUAUUCUUAAUUUUUGGUGCAUUUUGUAUAUUAAAAUAUUUAAACCUGCUCGCUAACGAACUCGAUAAAAUGAGGUACAUAUUUAAUGCUUUCCUUCAACGUGGCGAAUACGUGACCGGUACUUACAUUGGAAUUGUUUUGGUUUUCUGCGUUCUGCUUUUAGCAGUAUCGGUGUGUAAACAUUUUUUUGUGUAGUGUUGUCGUGUACUAUUGCAGUGAUUACAGCUCUCGCCGGGUACGAUUUCAACGUUUAAGUUUUCUGUUUAAUUUUAGUAAUAAAGUCAUUUUGUCAAUCUCAAUGUUUUUAAUAUUACUUUUUUUCACCAAAGGUGAUUAGCAUAAAUUAAAUCGAAAAACUAAUUUCCAUCAAUCAGGUUUGUACCUAUUUGCAGGGCCGAUGAGAGGAGGAUUGACUGGGGUAAAUUCCCCGGGGCCUUGCUGAUCGCUCUUCAAUCGCAAACAAAUUCGCAAUUCAAAAAAGGGCAAAAAAGAAAAAUUGCACUUUUAGUCACGUUUUUGUCCCACGAAAUUAAAUUAUUUUAAAUUCUUAUCUACUACAGAAUUUUCCAAUAUUUCAUAAAUUUUAAUACGCUGGUCGCUAUCGCUUUUAGUUUAAAAGAUAUGCACUAUUUUAGUUUAUUGACUCGAAAAUGUCAAGAACGUUGAUUUUUUUCUUGAUUAUUUAGUUAUAUUGCAAUUAAUCGCAAUUGUAUAGUUGAGUCUCAUUCGGUUUACCGUAACAGGGUGUCGAUAGAAGUGCCUCGUGUUCUGGGCACCGUACGAGGGUGCCGGUAAAAGUGACUCGUGUUCACAGCACCGUAUGUGGAUAGCGGUAGAAGUGACUCGUGUUCAGGGCACUGUACAAGGGCAGCGGUAGAAGAUGAAUCCCAUUUGCCCAUUUUUUUUCUUAUGAAUUAAAAUUUCAUCUCUUCUAUAGAGAAUUUUCCAAUAUAUUCUACAUUCUAUAUUUCCAUAUUCUACAAUUUUCUGGUUGCGGUCAAACUUCAGCAAUUUUUGUAAUUUUUGAAAAGUUGCGGUGGAAAAUGGGGAGAUAGAAGAAGAGUUCUUUAAUCGUAUGAGCUAUAUUCAGUCACCCUCAAUGGUCGGGAAGUGCCCUUAAAUUACUCUCAAACUUCAGCAAUUUUUGUCAUUUUUGAAAAGUUGCUGUGGAAAAUGGAGAUAGAAGAAGAGUUCUUUAAUCGUAUGAACCACAUUUCGUCACCAUCAAGGGUCGGGAAGUGCCCUUAAAUCACUCUCCAACUUCAGCAAUUUUUGUCAUUUUUGAAAAGUUGCUGUUGAAAAUGGUGAUAGAAGAAGAGUUCUUUAGUCGCAUGAACCACAUUUCGUCACCAUCAAGGGUCGGGAAGUGCACUUAAAUCACUCUCAAACUUCAGCAAUUAUUGUAAUUUUUGAAAAGAUGCGAUGGAAAAUGGUGAUAGAAGAAGAGUUCUUUAAUCGUAGGAACUACAUUUUGUCACCAUCAAGGGUCGGGAAGUGCCCUUAAAUCUCUCUCAAACUACUGCAAUUUUUGUCAUUUUUGAAAAGUUGCUGUGGAGAAUGGUGAAAGAAGAAGAGUUCUUUAAUCGUAUGAACUAUAGUCAGUCACCCUCAAUGAUCGGGAAAUGCCCUUAAAUCAUUCUCAAGCUUCAGCAAUUUUUGUCAUUUUUGAAAAGUUGCUGUGGAAAAUUGUGAUAGAAGAAGAGUUCUUUAAUCGUAUGAACUAUAUUCAGUCACCAUCAAGGGUCGGGAAAUGCCCUUAAAUCACUCUCAAAUUUCAGCAAUUUUUGUCAUUUUUGAAAAGUUGCUGUGGAAAAUGGUGAUAGAAGAAGAGUUCUUUAGUCGUAUGAACUACAUUCAGCCACCAUCAAAGUUCGGGAAGUGCCCUUAAAUCACUCUCCAACUUCAGCAAUUUUUGUCAUUUUUGAAAAAUUACGGUGUAAAAUGGAGAUAGAAGAAGAGUUCUUUAAUCGUAUGAGCUAUAUUCAGUCACCCUCAAUGGUCGGGAAGUGCCCUUAAAUUACUCUCAAACUUCAGCAAUUUUUGUGAUUUUUGAAAAGUUGCUGUGGAAAAUGGUGAUAGAAGAAGAGUUCUUUAGGCGCAUGAACUACAUUCAGUCACCAUCAUGGGUCGGAAAGUGCCCUUAAAUCACUCUCAAACUUCAGCAAUUUUUGUCAUUUUUGAAAAGUUGCUGUGGAAAAUGGUCUGUAUCUCGCGUUUCCUUGACUGGAUUUUAAUUUCGUCUGCUUCAAGUGAUAGAAGAAGAGUUCUUUAAUCGUAUGAACCACAUUUCAUCACCAUCAAGGGUCGGGAAGUGCCCUUAAAUCACUCUCAAACUUCAGCAAUUAUUGUAAUUUUUGAAAAGGUGCGAUGGAAAAUGGUCUGUAUCAUGCGUUUCCUUGACUGGAUUUUAAUCCUGUCCGCUUCAGGUGAUAGAAGAAGAGUUCUUUAAUCGUAGGAACUACAUUUUGUCACCAUCAAGGGUCGGGAAGUGCCCUUAAAUCUCUCUCAAACUACUGCAAUUUUUGUCAUUUUUGAAAAGUUGCUGUGGAAAAUGGUGAUAGAAGAUGAGUUUUUUAAUCGAAUGAACUAUAUUCAGUCACCAUCAAAGGUCGGGAAGUGGCCUUAAGUCACUCUCAAACUUUAGCAAGUUUUGUCAUUGUUGAAAAGUUGUGGUGGAAAACGGCCUGCCUCUCACGUUUUAGUGACUCGAUUUUAAUACUUUUGAGUAUCUGGAAGUAUUAAAUUAAUCUCCAAUUAUUUGGUACUAGAAGUACCAAAACAGGCACUGCUUGCUAUGCACCCAUAGUAAGGAUCUGUACGCGCGGGACUUGUAUGUAAACAAUUUUUUUCCUGUGUUCUGCGAACGUAUCGCGCAAUACUGAUAGUGACCUCGUGUUGUCGCAGUUGGCUGUAUGCAUUUUGCUGCACACGCAAUUCAAUUCCGGGCGUCGAGUAUGGUGCGCGUGUCCUGUUACUUCAGAUCAUAAUUAAGUAAAUUGAUUUAUAUUCAUUAAGCAAUCGACUGCAUAUACCAGAAUCGGGGUUGACCGGGGUUUUACAAGCGUGAAUGCAUGCUGCUGUGUUUAUCAAUCGUGGAUUAAUUCUCGAUUCUCCUGUACGCGCGCGUCCGUCGGCAUUCAGUUAUCGUUUCGCACAUAAGAAUAACUUGGAUAUAUAAUUAAUUCCAGCAAAUGAACAACUUUGAUGCCCAGACAAGUAGUUUGUGAAUGCACGAAUGGAGUUUGCAAUAUCUAUAGGUGAAGUGUUGGAGAUGUGAGUGUUUAAGGCAAGUUUUUACUACUUCCGAAUUUGCUAACUGUCGAUAUUUGUCUAUUUAAGAAAAAUGUAUCUAUUAUUAUUGUUGUCAAUAAAACUCACGGUAAAAUUAUAA